rnacentral:rRNA from 1 species
ACUCCUACGGGAGGCAGCAGUGGGGAAUAUUGCACAAUGGGGGAAACCCUGAUGCAGCCAUGCCGCGUGUGUGAAGAAGGCCUUCGGUUGUAAAGCACUUUCAGUAGGAGGAAGGUAGUGUAGUUAACAACCUGCAUUAUUUGACGUUACCUACAGAAGAAGCACCGGCUAACUCCGUGCCAGCAGCCGCGGUAAUACGGAGGGUGCGAGCGUUAAUCGGAAUUACUGGGCGUAAAGCGCAUAGCAGGCGGACCUGUUAAGUCAGAUGUGAAAAGCCCGGGGGCUUAACCUCGGAAUUGACAUUUGAAACUGGCAGGCUAGAGUCUGUAGAGGGGGGUAGAAUUUCAGGUGUAGCGGUGAAAAUGCGUAGAG